GACGAACGCUGGCGGCGUGCUUAACACAUGCAAGUCGAACGGAAAGGCCCUGCUUUUGUGGGGUGCUCGAGUGGCGAACGGGUGAGUAACACGUUAGUAACCUGCCCUUUACUUUGGGAUAACUUCAGGAAACUGGGGCUAAUACCGGAUAGGAUCUCCUGCUGCAUGGUGGGGGUUGGAAAGUUUCGGCGGUUGGGGAUGGACUCGCGGCUUAUCAUCUUGUUGGUGGGGUAGUGGCUUACCAAGGCUUUGACGGGUAGCCGGCCUGAGAGGGUGACCGGCCACAUUGGGACUGAGAUACGGCCCAGAAUGCUACGGGAGGCAGCAGUGGGGAAUAUUGCACAAUGGGCGGAAGCCUGAUGCAGCAACGCCGCGUGCGGGAUGACGGCCUUCGGGUUGUAAACCGAUUUCGCCUGUGACGAAGCGUGAGUGACGGUAAUGGGUAAAGAAGCACCGGCUAACUACGUG
rnacentral:rRNA from 1 species